rnacentral:rRNA from 1 species
UACGUAGGGUGCGAGCGUUAAUCGGAAUUACUGGGCGUAAAGCGUGCGUAGGCGGUCCGCCAAGUCUGAUGUGAAAGCCCCGGGCUCAACCUGGGAACUGCAUUGGAAACUAACGGGCUCGAGUGUGGCAGAGGGGGGUGGAAUUCCACGUGUAGCAGUGAAAUGCGUAGAGAUGUGGAGGAACACCGAUGGCGAAGGCAGCCCCCUGGGCUAACACUGACGCUCAGGCACGAAAGCGUGGGGAGCAAACAGG